rnacentral:rRNA from 1 species
GUCCACGCCGUAAACGAUGUCUACUUGGAGGUUGUGGCCUUGAGCCGUGGCUCUCGAAGCUUACGCGUUAAGUAGUUGGCGUCGGGAGCAGGGGCGUAAGGUUCAAAGCCUAAAAAUUGAACGGGGGGGGAGUACGAUCGCAAGAGAAGAGGCUUAUGUCUUUGCAACGCGAAGAACCUUACCUACUCUUGACAUCCAGA